GAUCCUGGCUCAGGAUGAACGCUAGCUACAGGCUUAACACAUGCAAGUCGAGGGGCAGCGGGAUUGAAGCUUGCUUCAAUUGCCGGCGACCGGCGCACGGGUGAGUAACGCGUAUCCAACCUUCCGUACACUCAGGGAUAGCCUUUCGAAAGAAAGAUUAAUACCUGAUGGUGUGAUGAGAUUGCACGAUAGCAUCAAUUAAAGAUUUAUUGGUGUACGAUGGGGAUGCG
rnacentral:rRNA from 1 species